GCGGUGCCGGGGGCGGGGCCUGUCGCUUGGCAGGUCGGCGGUUUCGACUUUUCUUUCCACGUUUUUUGACAUUUUGUAAGUCGAUAAAGAUGAGUUUUGGAUCAAGACAAAGGCAACGCAGAAGACUGGCGUGGGAACACAACACCUAUUGAGAGACGGCAAGCGGGCGGUUCCUGGAUGUUGUGUUCAUGGAGUCCAACGUGUGGCUGUACUGGAAGAGCUGCCCCAGGCAACAGGUGAGAGAUUUACACUGACCAGCCUCUCUCCCACCCCCUGACUGAUGCCUACUGACACUCUCACUCACUUCCUAAGCCCUGUCUGUCUCUCACUCACUUUCACUUUACUCUCUCUCUCUCUCGCUCUCGCUCUCGCUCUCUCUCUCUCUCUCUCUCUCUCUCUCUCUCUCUCUCUCUCUCUCUCUCUCUCUCUCUCUCUCUCUCUCUCUCUCUCUCUCUCUCUCUCUCUCUCUCUCUCUCUCUCUCUCUCUCUCUCUCUCUCUCUCUCUCUCUCUCUCUCUCUCUCUCUCUCUCUCUCUCUCUCUC